UUUUGGGGACUAACCUAUUAAUCUAGAGCUAGAGCCAGUUUCUGUUUUUUCCACAUUUUUGAAUAUUGCAGAUAAGGAAUAUUAAAUGAGUCCAAACGGAACAAAAUCUCCGGAAAGUUUUUUCUUGGUCCAGAAGACACCAUUGCUCCUCCAUUGCAGAUAAGGAAUAUUAAAUGAGUCCAAACGGAGGGCAUCUACAUCAAC
rnacentral:lncRNA from 1 species